rnacentral:rRNA from 1 species
CCAGACUCCUACGGGAGGCAGCAGUGAGGAAUAUUGGUCAAUGGGCUAAGGCCUGAACCAGCCAAGUCGCGUGAGGGAAGACGGUCCUAUGGAUUGUAAACCUCUUUUGUCGGGGAGCAACGAGGCCACGUGUGGCCGAAGUGAGAGUACCCGAAGAAAAAGCAUCGGCUAACUCCGUGCCAGCAGCCGCGGUAAUACGGAGGAUGCGAGCGUUAUCCGGAUUUAUUGGGUUUAAAGGGUGCGUAGGCGGAACAUUAAGUCAGCGGUAAAAUCGAGGGGCUCAACCCCUUUAAGCCGUUGAAACUGGUGAUCUUGAGUGGGCGAGAAGUAUGCGGAAUGCGUGGUGUAGCGGUGAAAUGCUUAGAUAUCACGAAGAACCCCGAUUGCGAAGGCAGCCUGCCGCAGCGUUACUGACGCUGAAGCUCGAAAGCGCGGGUAUCGAACAGGAUUAGAUACCCCCGUA